UCGUUGACGCUGGGGCGCCAUUGGCACCCGAAGAAGAGGCUAACAGAAAACGCCAAGCCGGUACCUUCAUUGACCACGCCAGCUAUCACACUUACAACAGGAUCAUAGAGGCUAUCAACCAGAUCAAAACUGCUUACCCAGACAAUGUCCAGUUGUCCAACCUGAACUACGUCACACACGAAGGAAGAGUUGUCACCC
rnacentral:sRNA from 1 species